rnacentral:rRNA from 1 species
AGUGAACGCUGGCGGUAGGCCUAACACAUGCAAGUCGAACGGCAGCACAGUAAGAGCUUGCUCUUACGGGUGGCGAGUGGCGGACGGGUGAGGAAUACAUCGGAAUCUACUUUUUCGUGGGGGAUAACGUAGGGAAACUUACGCUAAUACCGCAUACGACCUACGGGCGAAAGCAGGGGAUCUUCGGACCUUGCGCGAUUGAAUGAGCCGAUGUCGGAUUAGCUAGUUGGCGGGGUAAAGGCCCACCAAGGCGACGAUCCGUAGCUGGCCUGAGAGGAUGAUCAGCCACACUGGAACUGAGACACGGUCCAGACUCCUACGGGAGGCAGCAGUGGGGAAUAUUGGACGAUGGGCGCAAGCCUGAUCCAGCCAUACCGCGUGGGUGAAGAAGGCCUUCGGGUUGUAAAGCCCUUUUGUUGGGAAAGAAAAGCAGCAGGUUAAUACCCCGCUGUUCUGACGGUACCCAAAGAAUAAGCACCGGCUAACUUCGUG